CCUAUGAUUGGACAAGGAGAAGGCGGGCCCCUCUGCGCGGGCCUCCGCUUCCGGUUUGAGUGCCGCCCCCCCAGCCUCCCGGCAAUUGAUUUGCGAUAUUACCCUAAGGUGGGUGGACAGGCGAGCGCGGUUUCCCGUCAGUUGCUACCCUCGCCCAGUGCUCCACUCCCUCUUCCACGGGGGUUUGGCGGCUGGGUCACGCGGGACGAAGUUCGGGCAGGGUCCUCGGCCCCUGCCAUGAAUGAAGGUGGUUCCCGCAUCCGCCGGCGGGUUGCUGUCCGCAAAAGGAACCGGCCUAGCUUAGAGAGCAUUUUUGCCUCCCCCACCGCCGCCGAUCUCCAGCCAGGCGAUGAGGAGGAGGAGGACGAGGAGGAGAUGAUGGCUGGAAGUCGGCGGAAGAAAACCGCGGAGGUGCAGCCGGUCGAGAAUAAUGACAGUGAAGAGGACAUGUUUGGUGACUAUGAUAGCUUUGCUGAAAACUCUUUUUUAGCUCACGUUGAUGACCUGGAACAAUAUAUGCAGCUUCCUGAACAUAGGAAACAUGCCUCAGACCUUGCCACUGACGAUCUUUGUUCAGAAAGCGACAGACACAACAAACUCAGCGUUACUACCAUAGACAACUUUACUGAAUUAAAAAUGGAUGAGCACACAAAGAACGAGAGUAGGCAGGAAGAUGUCUGUAUUGAACCUGAACCUGAUCUUUUGUAUGAUAUACCUUCCUCCCAGGUUUUAUAUUUUGAAAAUUUGCAUAAUUCUUCAAAUGAUUUGGGCGAUCAGUCUACCAAAGAGAGGGAUUGCAACUCCUCCUCCCACAAGACUGUGAAUGAGGAAUUACCCCAGAAUAGCAUAGAACAACACCAGCAAACUGAUGAUUCCUCUUCUAAAGUCAGAACUAGCUCAGAGGAGAAUAGAAGAAAAAGUCUUAAAGAACAUCUAAAAAGUGCCAUGACUGGAAAUGCCAAGGCCCAAACACCAAUAUUUUCUAAGACUAAACAACUCAAAGAGACUCUCCUAUCUGAGGAGAUUAAUGUUGCCAAGAAAACAAUUGAGUCAUCAUCAGAUGACCUUGGUCCUUUUUAUUCAUUACCCAGCAAAGUGAGAGACCUUUAUGUUCAGUUCAAGGGAAUUGGAAAAUUAUAUGAAUGGCAACAUACUUGCUUAACACUGAAUUCUGUGCAAGAAAGAAAAAACUUAAUAUAUUCCUUGCCAACGAGUGGUGGAAAAACCCUUGUGGCUGAGAUUUUAAUGCUGCAAGAACUGCUUUGCCGGCGGAGAGAUGUUCUAAUGAUCCUACCAUAUGUGGCAAUUGUCCAAGAAAAGAUUUCAGGUUUGUCAAGUUUUGGUAUAGAACUGGGUUUCUUUGUUGAAGAAUAUGCUGGAAGCAAAGGAAAGUUUCCCCCAAUUAAAAGAAGGGAAAAAAAAUCUCUCUAUAUUGCCACUAUUGAAAAAGGGCAUAGUCUGGUGAACUCCUUGAUUGAAACUGGAAGGAUUGGCAGUCUGGGUCUGGUUGUUGUAGAUGAGUUACACAUGAUUGGUGAAGGAAGCCGUGGGGCUAUACUGGAAAUGACCCUAGCAAAAGUCCUCUACACUAGCAAAACAACUCAGAUUAUUGGCAUGAGUGCAACACUGAACAAUGUUGAAGACCUUCAAGAAUUCCUUCAAGCAGAAUAUUACACCAGUCAGUUUAGACCAGUUGAAUUAAAAGAAUAUUUGAAAAUAAAUGAUGCGAUAUAUGAGGUUGACAGCAAAGCUGAGAAUGGCAUGACUUUUUCACGUCUACUGAAUUAUAAGUAUUCUGAUACUCUGAAAAAGAUGGAUCCUGAUCAUUUGGUAGCAUUGGUGACAGAAGUUAUUCCCAAUUAUUCCUGCUUAGUUUUUUGUCCCACUAAGAAGAACUGUGAAAACGUAGCAGAAAUGAUAUGCAAAUUUUUAAGCAAGGAGUAUCUGAAACACAGAGAGGAAGAAAAACAUGAGGUGAUUAAAAACUUGAAGAAUGUCAGCAGUGGCAACUUGUGUCCUGUUUUAAAGCGCACCAUCCCUUUUGGGGUUGCUUAUCACCACAGUGGUUUAACAAGUGAUGAAAGGAAACUCUUGGAAGAGGCCUAUUCCACGGGAGUUCUGUGCCUUUUUACCUGCACAUCCACCCUCGCAGCAGGCGUUAAUCUACCAGCUCGAAGAGUUAUUUUAAGAGCUCCCUAUGUUGCCAAGGAGUUUUUAAAGAGGAACCAAUAUAAACAGAUGAUUGGCCGAGCUGGCCGUGCUGGGAUAGAUUCUAUUGGGGAGAGUAUCCUUAUACUGCAAGAAAAAGACAAGCAACAGGUAUUGGAGUUAAUAAGCAGACCAUUGGAAAACUGUUAUAGCCAUCUUGUUCAAGAAUUCACUAAGGGAAUCCAAACUUUGUUUCUCUCUUUAAUUGGUUUGAAGAUUGCAACAAAUCUUGAUGACAUCUAUCACUUUAUGAAUGGUACAUUUUUUGGUGUUCAGCAAAAAAUUUUGUUGAAAGAAAAAAGCCUGUGGGAAAUAACUGUGGAAUCACUUAGAUACCUGACAGAAAAAGGACUCCUACAAAAAGACACUACAGAUAAGUCUGAAGAAGAGUUCCAACAUAGUUUUCAUAUUACAAAACUGGGACGAGCUUCUUUUAAGGGAACUAUAGAUUUGGCUUCUUGUGACAUUCUCUACAGAGACUUGAAGAAAGGUCUCGAAGGACUUGUACUCGAAAGCCUUCUUCACCUAAUUUACCUAACAACUCCCUAUGAUAUGGCUUCUCAGUGUGACCCAGACUGGAUGAUAUACUUCAGGCAGUUUAGCCAGCUCAGUCCAGCAGAACAAAAUGUAGCUGCUCUUCUUGGAGUCUCUGAAAACUUUAUUGGGAAGAAAGCAUCAGGUCAAGCUAUAAGGAAGAAGGUGGACAAGGACAUUGUCAACAGACUAUACCUGUCUUUUGUUCUUUAUGCCCUGCUCAAAGAGACCAACAUUUGGAGUGUGUCUGAAAAAUUUAACAUGCCUCGAGGAUAUAUACAGAGUCUUCUUACUGGAGCUGCCACGUUCUCCUCUUGUGUGCUACAUUUCUGUGAGGAACUUGAGGAGUUUUGGGUUUAUAAAGCCCUUUUGGUAGAACUUACCAAGAAGUUGACUUACUGUGUAAAGGCAGAGCUCAUUCCCCUCAUGGAAGUGACUGGAGUUUUAGAGGGUCGAGCAAAACAGUUGUACAAUGCAGGUUAUAAAAGUCUAACGCACUUAGCUAAUGCAAAUCCUGAAGUGCUAAUAAGAACAAUCGAUCAUUUAUCAAGACGCCAGGCCAAGCAAAUUGUUUCAUCAGCAAAGAAAUCCUUUCCUCAGCAUCCCCGACAUCUGGCCUUCCCACUUUGAGCACCUACAUUGGCAUGGAGCUUACAACCUCAAAAAUUAGGCAGUUCUAUUUUUGGACACUUGUAGUGUUACAAAAAGCAUCUCAAGAUAAUGAGGCUAAAUGUUGCCUGCUUACAAUGUCUACCAUUACAUUAUGCUGUUGCACGAAAAAGCAGAGGCUUUGCAAGAAGAAGUGGAAGAGUUGCUGAGAUUGCCUUCUGAUUUCCCCGGAAUUACCUCUUCCACCGAGAAGGCAUGAAGCCAUCUGACAAGCAUUUUCUAAGAUGACUGACUUAUUAGACAUAUUUUUCUUAAAGACUCUCUAUAAUUUAAAAAUGAAAAAAUACAUUUUAAUUACACAUUAAGAACUGUGGAUGAUGUUUGAAUAUACCUCUCACCCUUCCCACUAAUAAUCCAUCUUCUUC